rnacentral:rRNA from 1 species
GACGAACGCUGGCGGCGUGCCUAAUACAUGCAAGUCGAACGCUUCUUUCCUCCCGAGUGCUUGCCCUCAAUUGGAAAGAGGAGUGGCGGACGGGUGAGUAACACGUGGGUAACCUACCCAUCAGAGGGGGAUAACACUUGGAAACAGGUGCUAAUACCGCAUAACAGUUUAUGCCGCAUGGCAUAAGAGUGAAAGGCGCUUUCGGGUGUCGCUGAUGGAUGGACCCGCGGUGCAUUAGCUAGUUGGUGUGGUAACGGCUCACCAAGGCCACGAUGCAUAGCCGACCUGAGAGGGUGAUCGGCCACACUGGGACUGAGACACGGCCCAGACUCCUACGGGAGGCAGCAGUAGGGAAUCUUCGGCAAUGGACGAAAGUCUGACCGAGCAACGCCGCGUGAGUGAAGAAGGUUUUCGGAUCGUAAAACUCUGUUGUUAGAGAAGAACAAGGACGUUAGUAACUGAACGUCCCCUGACGGUAUCUAACCAGAAAGCCACGGCUAACUACGUG